GGAAAGGCGCGCGAUACAGGGUGACAGCCCCGUACACAAAAAUGCACAUGCUGUGAGCUCGAUGAGUAGGGCGGGACACGUGGUAUCCUGUCUGAAUAUGGGGGGACCAUCCUCCAAGGCUAAAUACUCCUGACUGACCGAUAGUGAACCAGUACCGUGAGGGAAAGGCGAAAAGAACCCCGGCGAGGGGAGUGAAAAAGAACCUGAAACCGUGUACGUACAAGCAGUGGGAGCACGCUUAGGCGUGUGACUGCGUACCUUUUGUAUAAUGGGUCAGCGACUUAUAUUCUGUAGCAAGGUUAACCGAAUAGGGGAGCCGAAGGGAAACCGAGUCUUAACUGGGCGUUAAGUUGCAGGGUAUAGACCCGAAACCCGGUGAUCUAGCCAUGGGCAGGUUGAAGGUUGGGUAACACUAACUGGAGGACCGAACCGACUAAUGUUGAAAAAUUAGCGGAUGACUUGUGGCUGGGGGUGAAAGGCCAAUCAAACCGGGAGAUAGCUGGUUCUCCCCGAAAGCUAUUUAGGUAGCGCCUCGUGAAUUCAUCUCCGGGGGUAGAGCACUGUUUCGGCAAGGGGGUCAUCCCGACUUACCAACCCGAUGCAAACUGCGAAUACCGGAGAAUGUUAUCACGGGAGACACACGGCGGGUGCUAACGUCCGUCGUGAAGAGGGAAACAACCCAGACCGCCAGCUAAGGUCCCAAAGUCAUGGUUAAGUGGGAAACGAUGUGGGAAGGCCCAGACAGCCAGGAUGUUGGCUUAGAAGCAGCCAUCAUUUAAAGAAAGCGUAAUAGCUCACUGGUCGAGUCGGCCUGCGCGGAAGAUGUAACGGGGCUAAACCAUGCACCGAAGCUGCGGCAGCGACGCUGAUGCGUUGUUGGGUAGGGGAGCGUUCUGUAAGCCUGCGAAGGUGUGCUGUGAGGCAUGCUGGAGGUAUCAGAAGUGCGAAUGCUGACAUAAGUAACGAUAAAGCGGGUGAAAAGCCCGCUCGCCGGAAGACCAAGGGUUCCUGUCCAACGUUAAUCGGGGCAGGGUGAGUCGACCCCUAAGGCGAGGCCGAAAGGCGUAGUCGAUGGGAAACAGGUUAAUAUUCCUGUACUUGGUGUUACUGCGAAGGGGGGACGGAGAAGGCUAUGUUGGCCGGGCGACGGUUGUCCCGGUUUAAGCGUGUAGGCUGGUUUUCCAGGCAAAUCCGGAAAAUCAAGGCUGAGGCGUGAUG
rnacentral:rRNA from 1 species